rnacentral:rRNA from 1 species
AUUGAACGCUGGCGGCAGGCCUAACACAUGCAAGUCGAGCGGAGCGGCGGACGGGGGAGUAAUGCAUAGGAAUCUGCCUGGUAGUAGGGGAUAACGUCCGGAAACGGACGCUAAUACCGCAUACUAUCAGAUGAGCCUAGGUCGGAGUAGCUAGUUGGUGGGGUAAAGGCCGAUCAAGGCGACGAUCCGUAACUGGGCUGAGAGAAUGCUCAGUCACAGUGGAAGUGAGACACGGUCCAGAUUCCUACGGGAGGCAGAAGUGGGGAAUAUUGGACAAUGUGCGAAAGCCUGAUCCAGCCAUGCGGUGUGUGUGAAGAAGGUCUUCGGAUUGUAAAGCACUUUAAGUUGGGAGGCGUUACCAACAGAAUAAGCACCGGCUAACUUCGUGCCAGCAGCCGCGGUAAUAC